rnacentral:rRNA from 1 species
CAGUCGCCACGGGAAUACGAAGGGUGCAAGCGUUACUCGGAAUUACUGGGCGUAAAGCGUGCGUAGGUGGUGGUUUAAGUCCGUUGUGAAAGCCCUGGGCUUAACCUGGGAAUUGCAGUGGAUACUGGGUCACUAGAGUGUGGUAGAGGAUAGUGGAAUUUCCGGUGUAGCAGUGAAAUGCGUAGAGAUCGGAAGGAACAUCUGUGGCGAAGGCGACUAUCUGGGCCAACACUGACACUGAGGCACGAAAGCGUGGGGAGCAAACAGGAUUAGAUACCCCCGUAGUCCCUGUCUCUUAUAC